UUCCUUGAAACGUCUUUUCACCUUUCUUUCUGUUUGUCAUCCCUAAGUUACAAGUCUGUAUGUCUUCCUCUUCAUUUCUGUUCACAGAUUCAUUAAAUCGAAGAAAAAUCUUUGACCUUCAUUGUUCUUUCUCUCACACUGUUAUAAUCUGAUCAGACACGAUGGUCUGUGGAAGGGAUGCUUUGGAGAUGGGGUAGGAGGUUGCCCAAGCUGCAAAGAAAAUGGACCCAGCAAAUCCAAUGUCUAUUCAGUGUGAUGAGAAGCUUCGUCAUCCUCUUGGGUGUGAAAGCAUUCAGCUGUGGGGAUAAAUGAGAUGCUAAUGCGCCAAAUGUACAAGCGGUCGUCAUGUGAUCAGUAAUGAUUUUAAAGUCUUUUAUCCAACGUUCUCAGACUAUGAUGUUCGAUAUUAUUCUCUUAACUUCUAAAGGUAAGCGAUCAUUCUUUUUUGAAACCUAGAUUGCGCUUUCUUCAGGUUUGUAUUACUCCUUCUAAUACAAUAUUUUAUUGCUAGGGGAGGUCUCUAAACAUGAUCGUACACGUCACUGAUUUAGUGAAAAUUCUCAUUGAUUCCUUUUCAUCCCAGGUUUUCUCUUUCUGUGUGAUUGCAGAGCUCGACAAAGCUUCAUUUAAGUGGAAAGAGCUUGAACAGUCUGAAGUAAAAAGCAGUCUUCCAUUGUGUACAGAAUUUUACGGCUCGACAGAUCCCAUGUUCUCUAACUGUGAGUGACAAUGGAUGCUUGGAGAAGACGACGAGCAUUAGGGCGGAUCAACGAGGGAAAUUGAUCACCUGUUGUAGUCAUAAUUAUCAUCGACAUAGCCGCCACUGAAGUCAUAAAUAUAUACAAGGGUUUAGGGUGUUGGAAGAGUGGCGUUGAAGAUGGGUGCGAGGGAGAGAUAUAAGGAUAGAAGGAAUCUGAAAUUGCGGGAGAGAAGAGAUGACGCUGUUGUUUUCCUGGGACCUAAAUCUAGAGAUGGAUAAGCUUCACAACAUUUUCUGACUCUGUCUCUUUUGAUUCGGCUCACUUCUCCUAGAAAAGGUUUUGGGUUUGUUCCACGAAGAACCAACGUAGCAAAUUUGCUUUAGACAAAAUAAAUGAUAAAGUAUGUUACAGGUA